UGACAUAAUAGCGUAACGAAACCAGCAGUUACCAUAAACCACGGGCCACUUUUGAUAAAUAUGAAUCGAGAUUUCUGUUAAAUAAUAUGCCGCGUUUAGUAAUAUCGAAUAGUUAUUUUAGAGCUGUGUUGUGUGGUGUAGUGUACAUUUUCAAUAAACUAUACUAAUCUGUGGCUUUUGUGUAAUCAUUAUCGGAAUUUUGUAGGUUAUCAAUAUUUACUAUAUUUAAAAAAAUUAUCAUGCACAAUCUGCAUGUACUUGAUAAUGAAUAAAGCAAAAUAUUGAAUGAGUUUUCAAGUGUUUUUCGUCCGCGCAAGUAGAAACAUCGAA